UACGUAGGGGGCUAGCGUUAUCCGGAAUUACUGGGCGUAAAGGGUGCGUAGGUGGUUUCUUAAGUCAGAGGUGAAAGGCUACGGCUCAACCGUAGUAAGCCUUUGAAACUGGGAAACUUGAGUGCAGGAGAGGAGAGUGGAAUUCCUAGUGUAGCGGUGAAAUGCGUAGAUAUUAGGAGGAACACCAGUUGCGAAGGCGGCUCUCUGGACUGUAACUGACGCUGAGGAGCGAAAGCGUGGGGAGCGAACAGGAUUAGAUACCCCUGUAGUCCCUGAG
rnacentral:rRNA from 1 species